GAUAAACGCUGGCGGCGCACAUAAGACAUGCAAGUCGAACGGACUUAACCAUUAGUUUACUAUUGGAGCGGUUAGUGGCGGACUGGUGAGUAACACGUAAGCAACCUGCCUAUCAGAGGGGAACAACAGUUAGAAAUGACUGCUAAUACCGCAUAUGCCUUAGUAACACAUGUUACAAAAGGGAAAGGAGCAAUCCGCUGAUAGAUGGGCUUGCGUCUGAUUAGAUAGUUGGUGAGGUAACGGCUCACCAAGUCGACGAUCAGUAGCCGGACUGAGAGGUUGAACGGCCACAUUGGGACUGAGAUACGGCCCAG
rnacentral:rRNA from 1 species